UACAUGGGGUGCAAACGUUGCUCGGAAUUAUUGGGCGUAAAGCGCACGUAGGCGGUUCGUUAAGUCGGAUGUGAAAGCCCUCGGCUCAACUGAGGAAGUGCACCCGAAACUGGCGAGCUUGAGUACGAAAGAGGAUCGCGGAAUUCCCGGUGUAGAGGUGAAAUUCGUAGAUAUCGGGAGGAACACCAGUGGCGAAGGCGAUCAUCUGGGGUUGUUCUGACACUGAGGAGCGAAAGCUAGGGGAGCAAACGGG
rnacentral:rRNA from 1 species